CUCGGCUGACUAUCACUGUUAAUAGCACAUCUUAUGCUGCACUGUAAUGUUUCUGCACUGUAAUGUUUGUUAAUGGCAUGUUUCUCACUGUAAGAUAACUCCUUAAGAUUAAGGCUUUUAUGCAUCUUCAUGUUCUCAUGUUUAAGAACAGUGCUUGGAACACAGAUUCCAUACAUGUUGAAUGAAUGAAUAAACUAUUAAAUAAGUUAAAGAGCACUAGAAUGAACUAAUAUAUGAUUUACAUUUGUUGACAUUUUGAAUCUCGUAAUUAUUUUUGACUAUCUCCUCUACUUGGCUGUGAGUCCAAGAGCAUAUAAAUCUUGCCUCAUCUAUGCCAGUAGCCUCAGCAUUUAGCAUUGUGCUUACUGCCUAAAAUGUGAUAGUUGCUCAGUUAAUGUCUUGAAAAUGAAGAAAUGAAUGCAUUACAUUAUGAGAUUUGCAAGAAUAAGCUCCCUGGGUAGUCUGUGUCUUGUGUUUCAUCAUGCCAUGCUUGUUCUCAUCUUUAGGGACUUGAAAAUGUGAUUGAAAUUUAAAGAAUAUUGGUUUUGAGAGUCAAUUCUCAGCUACAACGUUCACCAUCUUCUGAAAUACCAUUUUGUCUUUUUAAGAGAAUAAUGUUUCUAUUUCCUUUCUGUUUUUUCUUUUUUUAAUGUAACCCAGAUCUUCAAUGAAGACCAUGUUUUACAAGUACACUUAGGAUAAGCCUUUUAUAAAACUAGUACUUUGGCUUAUAAGCCCCAGCUUCUUUGUCCAGUCAGUGCUGUUGGUGUUGGAUGACUUAACGAACAAUGCCUGAGGCUUAUAGAUAAAAGGACUCACAGAGCAAAGUUAUUACAUGAGUUACCUUUCUGAAUAAUACCUAACUGCAGAAUGUUCCUGGCAUUAAGUGAAAAUAGACCAAAUAUUAGCAUUCUCAAAGCCCUUAUCUUAUAUGCACACAUGUACUGCUCUUGUUCUAGCUGUGGUUUAGUACUGCUUGACAUCAGUAGCAUAUUCAGUUCCCAUUUUUAGGCAAAAAGGAACAAAUCGCCCUUCCUUGUUCAAGGAAGAUCAAGGCAGAUCAAGUAACCAAAGAUCAGCUAUCUGUUGCAAACUUUGGAACCACUGUCAGGCUUAUAGUCUGCUUCUAUGUACAAAGAACAAAAAACACUGGGAGGAUACAUUUAAAAAAUCAGACUAUCAGAGGUAGUUGGAAAUUUAGUUUGCCCUCAGAUGAAAAAAAAAAAAACAAUGACAAAACAUUUAUGUUGCAAAGCAGGAGUAAAGAAAAAAAAUUUAAAAGAUAAAAACUGGCUAAAUCUGUCAUGCUCAAUUGAGCAACAGAGCAAAAUGAGAUAAGCCUAUUAGUGGCAGUUGAGAAAAACGGCUUUUCAAAUUCAGUUUUUUUAUGAGAGUAAUUUAGGAAGUGUAGUUUAAGAGUCAUUAAGUACAAAAUACCAUAAACAUCAAUGUGAGUUGUAUUCUGCUUUCGUUUGGUUCACUGAGUGACAUAGCAUACCUUAAAUCUGAUGAAGAAGUUCCUUUGGAGGCUAUAAACCGAGAGGCAUUGAAGCAAACGCUGGGAGCAGCCCUGAGGAAGAAAGAGGUCCCUUAAACAGCGUUUGGCCAUCUUGUUUAGAAGCUGGUGAGAGAUAAGAGGAAGCCUUUACUUCCAACUCAUGAAUGAAGUAAUACAAUGAACAUUCUGGUGAGCCAGCCACCCACUUCUUUGGGAGAUAGUGGUGAUCAAGACUUGCCUGAGGCAGUUACUCCAAAGCUUGGAACUGAGCAGUUGGGAAGUCAGGCCAGUUCUGUAGGUCAGAAAUCUGAUGCUGGGCUACAAUCAAGAUGUUGGCAGGGCUGCAUACUGUUCUAGAGACAAUGGGGUGGGAGGGAUCUAUCUUCUUGCCUUUCCCAGCUUGUAGAGACCACCUGCAUUCCUUGACUCAUGACUUGCUUCCUUUGUCUAGAUAGCUACCAGGAACAAAUCCAGCAUUGUUCAUGCUGGUGUCUUACUCUCUUAACCU
rnacentral:lncRNA from 1 species